rnacentral:lncRNA from 1 species
CAGGAAGACAUUUUAAGGAGCUGCUUCAGUGGUGAUGACCAGACUAAUUGAGUGCUCUGUUAAUUACUUUUCAAUGUUGAUCUGUCAGGUAUAUGUCAUUUGCUUUCCUGGUUUAUUGUUCCUGGAAUGCAAUUCACUGUAUUCAAGACAUAGUAAAAGAGGAGUUUUAUAAUUUACAGAGAUGCAUAUUUUUGUAAGCUUUUUGUUAGCUUGUUUGUAAGUCAUGUCAUUGCUGUGACUCACUGAAUAUGUUGAUUUGCAUGCAAUAAAUUGCAGACAAAUUGCUAAACCAGUUGCUACCUCGAAGUAUGUGUCCUGCCACCUAUCAGAAGAGCGCUGGUUUUGCAGCAAGAGUGGGUAACUCCCACGUGGAACAGCUCACGUACUGCCAUAAUUUACAGUCAAAUGACAUCUGACUGGCGUAGUGCAAAACAGACCCUCCUCUUCCAUCCGCCCUGAGCCACUUUCUGUGCCCUUGUACCUCCUUCAGUGUUUUGAGGAAUAAGGAUCUGCAUCUUCUUUUCCCUCCGGGCAUGGACUUAGAGCAUGACAUGGCCCAGCCACCAGCUACAAAGGGGCAGGAACAGCAAAAGGGGCUGAGCACAUGAGAACGUCUGUUUGUCUGAGAGGACCGGAUGCCCUUGUGUCACUGAUUGCCCAGCAGAGAAAAGUCUCACCAUAUUACGUGGACAGGAAGGACUGGGAGAACGCUGGCAUCCAGGAUUCUACUAAGGCCGUGAUGCAAGAAGGAUCUUCAGAAGAGCUCCACAGCAGCCAACUGUGUGAGAGCAAAGUAAAUGAACAUGCUGGGCCACUGGUUAACGGAGGCAGAAGGACGGUGGUGACAGGAGGUGGAGGCUACCUGGGAUACCAUCUGGGAUGUGCUCUUGUCAGGGUGAUGUGAGGGAUUAUGAUGCAGUGUUCAAAGCGUGUGAAGGAGUUGACUGUGUUUUUCAUGCAGCUGCAUGUGGAAUGUCAGGAUUAGAACAAAUUCAAAAGAAAGACCAGAUAGAAUCCAUCAAUGUCGGAGGCACAAAAAUAAUAAUUGAUGUCUGCAAACAAAGAAAUAUCCCUAGACUGAUAUAUACCAGUACAGUGAAUGUGGUAUUUGGAGGAAAUCCUAUUGAAGAGGGAGAUGAAGAAACGGUGCCAUAUUUUCCACUGGAAAAGCAAUUUAAUCAUUAUUCUAGAACAAAGGCAAUUGCAGACCAAAUGGUUCUUGCUGCUAAUGGAACUUUACUCAAAGGAGGUGAGAAGCUCCAUACCUGUGUGCUUCGCCCACCAGGCAUCUAUGGACCAGAAGAGCCGCGCCACCUGCCACGAGUCGCCGUAAAUAUCCAGCGGAGACUAUUUAACUUCAAAUUUGGGAAUCACAAAGUUCAGAUGAACUGGGUUCACAUAGGAAAUCUAGUACAAGCUCACUUACUAGCUGCUGAGGCUCUCACUUCUGAGAAGCGUUAUGUAGCUAGUGGUCAAGCGUAUUACAUCCAUGAUGGUGAAAACGUGGUAUUUUCUGAAUGGAUCGUCCCUUUGUUUGAAAAAUUAGGCUACAGGAAACCCUGGAUACAUAUUCCUGUUCUUCUGGUUCAUAUAGCAGCCACUGUGAUGGAAUAUCUGCACCUGAUACUAAAGCCAGUUUUCAGCUUUACACCUUUCUUGACAAGGAAUGAGGUGUGGAAUGUUACUGUAACUCACACUUUCCGAAUAGACAAAGCACGAAAUCAACUUGGUUACAAACCAAAGAAAUUCUCAUUCGCUGAUUCUGUGGAUCACUAUCUGAAAACAAGACCUACUUGCCAAAAGGAUCACACAUUCCUUAAAAUGGUGGUUGCUUUCAGCAUUUUGCUAAGUUUGAUCAUUCUUUCCUUCUUCUAA